UGCAGGGUGAUGAAAUUGGUAAACAUACCCUCCUGUCUCGGGGGCGAGGGUUUGGGAUAAAGGGGCUGUCAUUCGACGGCCCCCUAACCGCCUCAUGAAGGUUCGACUCCUUCCCCUGCAG
rnacentral:tRNA from 1 species